GGGCAAGUAGCGAAUCGGCAAACGCGACGGACUGUAAAUCCGUUCUCUUCGGAGGUAAUGGGCUCGACACCCAUCUUGCCCA
rnacentral:tRNA from 1 species